UACAGAGGGUGCGAGCGUUGUUCGGAAUUACUGGGCGUAAAGCGCGCACAGGCGGCCCUUUAAGUCCGUCGGUAAAAUGCCGGGGCUCAACCCCGAGCGUGCUGAGGAUACUGGAGGGCUGGAGACACGUAGAGGCAAGCGGAAUUCCGGGUGUAGCGGUGGAAUGCGUAGAGAUCCGGAAGAACACCGGAGGCGAAGGCGGCUUGCUGGGCGUGAUCUGACGCUGAGGCGCGAAAGCGUGGGGAGCGAACAGG
rnacentral:rRNA from 1 species